GGGUUGUGAGGUUAAGCGACUAAGCGUACACGGUGGAUGCCCUGGCAGUCAGAGGCGAUGAAGGACGUGCUAAUCUGCGAUAAGCGUCGGUAAGGUGAUAUGAACCGUUAUAACCGGCGAUUUCCGAAUGGGGAAACCCAGUGUGUUUCGACACACUAUCAUUAACUGAAUCCAUAGGUUAAUGAGGCGAACCGGGGGAACUGAAACAUCUAAGUACCCCGAGGAAAAGAAAUCAACCGAGAUUCCCCCAGUAGCGGCGAGCGAACGGGGAGCAGCCCAGAGCCUGAAUCAGUGUGUGUGUUAGUGGAAGCGUCUGGAAAGGCGCGCGAUACAGGGUGACAGCCCCGUACACAAAAAUGCACAUGCUGUGAGCUCGAUGAGUAGGGCGGGACACGUGGUAUCCUGUCUGAAUAUGGGGGGACCAUCCUCCAAGGCUAAAUACUCCUGACUGACCGAUAGUGAACCAGUACCGUGAGGGAAAGGCGAAAAGAACCCCGGCGAGGGGAGUGAAAAAGAACCUGAAACCGUGUACGUACAAGCAGUGGGAGCCUCUUUUAUGGGGUGACUGCGUACCUUUUGUAUAAUGGGUCAGCGACUUAUAUUCUGUAGCAAGGUUAACCGAAUAGGGGAGCCGAAGGGAAACCGAGUCUUAACUGGGCGUUAAGUUGCAGGGUAUAGACCCGAAACCCGGUGAUCUAGCCAUGGGCAGGUUGAAGGUUGGGUAACACUAACUGGAGGACCGAACCGACUAAUGUUGAAAAAUUAGCGGAUGACUUGUGGCUGGGGGUGAAAGGCCAAUCAAACCGGGAGAUAGCUGGUUCUCCCCGAAAGCUAUUUAGGUAGCGCCUCGUGAAUUCAUCUCCGGGGGUAGAGCACUGUUUCGGCAAGGGGGUCAUCCCGACUUACCAACCCGAUGCAAACUGCGAAUACCGGAGAAUGUUAUCACGGGAGACACACGGCGGGUGCUAACGUCCGUCGUGAAGAGGGAAACAACCCAGACCGCCAGCUAAGGUCCCAAAGUCAUGGUUAAGUGGGAAACGAUGUGGGAAGGCCCAGACAGCCAGGAUGUUGGCUUAGAAGCAGCCAUCAUUUAAAGAAAGCGUAAUAGCUCACUGGUCGAGUCGGCCUGCGCGGAAGAUGUAACGGGGCUAAACCAUGCACCGAAGCUGCGGCAGCGACACU
rnacentral:rRNA from 1 species